UUAUAGCGGAGGAGGUCGGCUCGCUACGACGAGAUUUGACGGAGAGGGUCGAUGAUCUGGGACGAGAGUUGACAGGGAGGGUCGACGAUCUGGCAGGGAGGGUUGACUAUCUGACAGGGAGGGUCGACGAUAUGGGACGAGAGUUGACAGGGAGGGUUGACGAUCUAUCCCAUGAGUUGGAAUACUACAGUCUUCCGUUGUCGACCUUCAGGAUACAGUAGCGGCGCUUAGAGGAGAUUUA
rnacentral:lncRNA from 1 species